UUUCAAUCGUCGCCCGACUCGAUCCGCUGCCCUCCACACCCCCGCCCACCACGCCCGACGGUUCCCCGUCGCCGCUCCCCCGCUCGACGGCUCGUCCUCUUCCCCCGCGAAUCCCUCAGGCGCACAGUGCCCGCGGCCGCCACCCUCCAUGCCGCCGCCGCCCACGAAGCCACGCCGCCAUCUCUCUCCGCGCCGCUCGUCGCCGUGCGCCGCGCACUCGUCGGCCCCUUCCUCUGCGGCUGGGGCGCCCCUCCUCUCUUCAAGCCUGCUGCCGCCCUUGGCGGUUCCAGCUCGAAUCGGCGGUUCCAGCUCCCCGUCCUCGCACGCCGUCCUGCUCGCGCCGCCCUCGCCCUCCCCGUCUCGCGCGCCGCCGCCGCCGCUCUCGGCCCUCGCCUCCCCGUCGCGCUGUCGGCCGCACCCCCCUCCCCCGCGUCCGUCCCCUCCGCCGCCUCACAUCUCAGUUCGGCGCCAUCGACCCACGGGCCCGUCCUCCGCCAGCUCGGCGCCGACGACUCGCGCGCCUCCUCCGCGAGCUCCACCCCACCGACCCGCGCGCCUCAUCCGCUAGCGCGCUCCGUCGAGCCGGCGCGUCCCUACUCGGCCGGCCCCCCCUCCUCGGACAUCUCGGAACUGCUUGAGGUGCUACGAACUGCUCCGCCUCGAACUGCCGCGCCACUCCUCCUCUGAUCCGCCCCGAUCCGGACUCAACGCGGAGGAGGAGAUCGUGGUGGCAGGCACGAUGCGGAGGAGCCGUGGUGCAGCUGCGAUAUCUCACAGCUGGCGUCCAAUCCCGUGUCGUCGAGCUGCAGCAUGUUGUCGUCGCCCGCAAUAGUAAGGUGAAGGUACAUGCUCCAAUGCUGGUUCGGUUUGCCAAGAAAAAGGUUUUGUGGACGGGGGUUGGGCUAUGAGAGAAUGAAUUGGUUCGGGACUCAUCACGAUUCUGAAGUUGUUGGUCAAGAAAAAGGGCUUGGUAAGUCCUAUUGGCGUUUGGAGAAUAUGCUUCUGGACAUAUGGUACCAGCAUAUUAGAGAAGCUGUAUACUAUCCCGAUUCCUCAAUUCAUCUUGCAUUUAAAUGAUGGUUGUUAGCAGCUCAAUUUUCACUCUCAUUGAGCUGAGAGGAUGACACUCAAGUUGGGGAAGUUUUCUGGGUUUUUCUUCAUUCACACUCACAAUGCCAUGCCUUCCAACAGGAGGGGUGGCCACAUAUAUAUACAGCAGGCUGCUGGGCAGCAAACGAAGCCAAUAAUGCUAGUCUAACACUAGUCUAACUGCUGUCCUAGAGAGGACACUAACUGCUGUCCUGGAGAGGACACUAACUGCUGUCAUGCAGUCCAAGAUGCUGCAGGGGUACAAGAGAUGCCUGCAGUCCAAGAUGCUAAGGACUACAAGAUGCUGCAGGGGUACAAGGGACCACAAAGACCAACAGCAAAGACUUAUCCAUCAUUCUCCCCCUAAGUCUUGUGCGUCGUCUUGUGGGAAGAUUGGACCAUCCCAGUCCUGGAGCAAAGCUCAAGGAACUUGAUCCUCCCAAGGGGCUUGGUGAGCAGAUCCGCAAGCUGAUCCUUGGUGUUGAUGUAGCUCGCCUUGAUGCUUCCUUCCUCCAAGCAGCCUCGGAUGAAGUGAUACCUCUCC